rnacentral:rRNA from 1 species
AGUGAACGCUGGCGGUAGGCCUAACACAUGCAAGUCGAACGGCAGCACAGUAAGAGCUUGCUCUUACGGGUGGCGAGUGGCGGACGGGUGAGGAAUACAUCGGAAUCUACUUUUUCGUGGGGGAUAACGUAGGGAAACUUACGCUAAUACCGCAUACGACCUACGGGUGAAAGCAGGGGAUGUUCGGACCUUGCGCGAUUGAAUGAGCCGAUGUCGGAUUAGCUAGUUGGCGGGGUAAAGGGCCACCAAGGCUACGAUCGGUAGCUGGUCUGAAAGGAUGAUCAGCCACACUGGAACUGGGACACGGUCAAGACUCCUACGGGAGGCAGCAGGGGGGAAUAUUGGCCAAUGGGCGCAAGCCUGAUCCAGCCAUACCGCGUGGGUGAAGAAGGCCUUCGGGUUGUAAAGCCCUUUUGUUGGGAAAGAAAAGCAGCAGGUUAAUACCCCGCUGUUCUGACGGUACCCAAAGAAUAAGCACCGGCUAACUUCGUG